rnacentral:rRNA from 1 species
UACCAGCACCCCGAGUGGUCGGGACGUUUUUAUUGGGCCUAAAGCAUCCGUAGCCGGUUCUACAAGUCUUCCGUUAAAUCCACCUGCUUAACAGAUGGGCUGCGGAAGAUACUAUAGAGCUAGGAGGCGGGAGAGGCAAGCGGUGACGUCGAUGGGUAGGGGUAAAAUCCGUUGAUCCAUUGAAGACCACCAGUGGCGAAGGCGGCUUGCCAGAACGCGCUCGGACGGUGAGGGAUGAAAGCUCGGGGGAGCAAACCGG